rnacentral:rRNA from 1 species
UACCCGCAGCACAAGUGGUGGUCAUUAUUAUUGGGCCUAAAGCGUCCGUAGCUGGCGUGUUAGAUGCCUGGGUAAAUCGAAGCGCUCAACGCUUCGACUUCCGGGUAGACCGGCACGCUCGAGACCGGGAGAGGCAUGGGGUACUCGGGGGGUAGGGGUAAAAUCCGUGUAAUCCUCCGGGGACGACCAGUGGCGAAGGCGCCAUGCUAGAACGGCUCUGACAGUGAGGGACGAAGCCCUGGGGCGCAAACCGG